rnacentral:rRNA from 1 species
CACGUAGGAGGCGAGCGUUGUCCGGAAUCAUUGGGCGUAAAGAGCGCGCAGGCGGCUUGGCAAGUCGGGUGUGAAAUCCCGGGGCUCAACCCCCGGGACUGCAUUCGAUACUGUCAGGCUAGAGGUAGGUAGGGGAGAUCGGAAUUCCUGGUGUAGCGGUGAAAUGCGCAGAUAUCAGGAGGAACACCGGUGGCGAAGGCGGAUCUCUGGGCCUUACCUGACGCUCAGGCGCGAAAGCGUGGGGAGCAAACAGG